rnacentral:lncRNA from 1 species
AAAUGUAACGCGUACUAACUUCCGAUGUCACGUUGUCGGCCGCCAACGUGGCCCUCCGCAAAGUUAGUAAUUGCACAUUCUGAUCAAACUCCUACCAUUCGGAGUUUAUAGAUUACCCAAUCAAAAUACUUUCGCUAACAACAAACUCAACUAGACCUCGUCUCUCACGAGCCUAUUCUUAUAGUCCAACCAGCCUAAGGUUUGCUAGGUCUACUAAGACUCAACCCUAGGCUCUGAUACCACUAUAAUCUGUCACGCCCGGGUACCAGCGGAAGUAGAUCCGGUACGUGCACAGAUCCGCC